rnacentral:lncRNA from 1 species
AAUUUUCGGGCCAUGACCGGUGCAUGGGCCCAAUGGACAUAACCCACUAAGCCUAAGCAAGGGUAUCUAUAUGACCUGUUUAUCAUUCCAUCAGAGUUGUUAAAGUCACAUUUCAUAAUUUCAAUUCAAAAUAUUGAUAACGAUUGCCAACUCAUCAUGGCAUUACCAAUCAAAAUAUACAUAUAAAGUCUAAGACAUACAUCUUAGUACUUUACAUCACAUGAACGUAUUUACAACAAAAAUGACUCUGGGCUUCCAGCGAAGUGACCAAGGUAAAGCUACGGCUAUGGAAUGCCAAGAUACCUACCAAGGAUAUGAAUCUAUGAAGACAUCUCGACCUAGGUACCGGCUGCCUCUUGAUCUAAAAACAUGAAGUUGGAAACGGUGAGUAUAAACCCAGUGAGUGAACAUAAGAGGGAACAAGUAAACGAUAAGGAAUAUUGAAAGAAAACCUGAUGCAUUUAUUUUCAAAAACAAUGCAAUUUAAUUUAGUUCUUAUUAAAACCCCUCAUUAAACCCUUAAUGAAUAAAUCACUUGAUGAUAAAGGGUCCAUGUGCAACAAAGGAUUUGAAAAGUCAAGCAAAUCAAGUCAAGUAAACGAUGGGUCCUUGCUGCAGCGAAAAGGCAUUCUCACUGCAGCUAGAAUGAAUUUUUGAUGUAGCGAAAUUUGGCUCAAAUUAUCAACUGGUCGAGGGUUUCUUAACUAGUCGAGGGUUUCUCACCAAACCCCCUCAUUUCAAACUUAAUUAAUUAAUUCCUUAAUGUUGGAAGUCCAUGCUCAACUAUGGUACCAAAGAAGUGGAAAAUAGGGCAGCAACUGAACAAGAAAAUAAGCAAGACAAAAAGUUUCUCGCUGCAGCGAGAAUUCGUUCUCAUAGCAAAAUUUAAGCAGUAAAACAGAAAGUUUCUCGCUGCAACGAGAAUCAAGCCAAUGUAACCCUCCAAACUUGAGAGUUUUUCGUUGCAAUGAGAAACAGGACACCAACAAUAAAUUUUCGUUCUCCCAAAGAAAGGCCAUUUAGCUACAAAGACAAAAUCAACUUGAACAUGCUUAGAAAUUCCCAAGGUUUAACAUGCAAGAUUCACAUGUAUUACAACCAUAUACCAUACUCAUGAACUUUCUAUAACAUACAUAUUUAUCUAUAUAUUUAUACACAUCAUCAUGUAUACCAUCCCACCAUCAUCAGCUCAUGUGCACUCCCCACUCACACAUAGCUGGGUCAUCAUUAGCUCAUGUGCACUCCAUAUCGCACAUAGUUGGGUAAUCAUCAGCUCAUGUGCACUCCCCCACAUGCACAUAGCUAGGUCAUCAUUAGCUCAUGUGCACUCCCACACACACAUAGCUGGGUCAUCAUUAUCACAUAAAACAAAAGAACAUCCAAUGCAUAUUAUACAUAUCAACACAUGAACCAUUAUAUGGCACACUUUCACAAGAUAGAAACAUUCACCAAAGGCUUGUUCCCUAGGUAGAUUUUUAAGGAAAAGUUGGAUAAAAUCAUUUAAAUGUUUUGUGCAAAUACAUUCACAUUCCCAAAAUAAUUUUGAAAUGUAAGUUCACUCACUGGUAUUCGUUAAAUCUUUAUUUAACUCCAACUUCCUCUAAUGGUCUAAAUGGGGUGGUGGGGCUUCGUUGGAACCUAUCAUCACAUUAGCAUCAUCACCAUCAACCCAACUUGGCAUUAAUACUAUUCCAAAGCUAUUUUCUAGAUUGAGUUGUACUAGUCAUUCCUAUUAGCCUCCAACUACCAUUAAAUUGCUAUUAUUUGCACUACUCUAGUAACACUAAAAAUGAUUAAACAAUCUCAACAAUAAAACACUCACAAAUCAAAUUACUAGACAUUAUCAACAAUUAAAAAUAAAGUUUAAUUCACUACUCACUUUGGUAGCUUUGUAAAUUUGAAAUUUUAUCCAAUAAUUUUCAAGCUAUUAUAGAAACUCCUUUUUUCUCUCUCUAAAACACCUAGCUAGUGAGAGAGAAUAUGAAAGUAAGACUUUUCAAGGGUUUUAAAGUGAGAGAGUGAAAGAGCACAAAUGUUCUAUGUAAGGGUGCACAAAAGCAUGAAAAGUAGAGCUAGCUUGAAAGAGUUAUGGAAGUUUGAAGAAAACUCCCAUGGAGGAUGAAGAAACGUGAGAGGGAAGAAGGAAGAAGAAGCAGCUAGAAAUGUGAGAAGAAGCUACUAGAAGAUGAUAUUUAUAGCUCAAGCUUAUCCAACUCCACUUAAAUUAUGAAAAUGCCCUUAGCAAGUUAGCUUAUUCUUCUCCAAUCCUUUGUGCAAUCUUUUUACUCUUUUGACACCGAGACUAGGUCCACAAUGGUCUAAAACUACUCGAGUUUAUGAAAACUUAAAAUUUUAACUUGAGAUGAAAAAUGACCAUUUUGCCUUUACCUUGGAAAUCAUCAUUAUUUUUAUUUCCUUCGUCCUUUUACCCUUAUUUUCAUCAUUCAUUUAUGCCUUAGGCCUACUUAGGCCUUAAUAUUGUUUGAAAGCCUACUUUUAGGGGCUCAUUAAAAAAAUGACGAAAUUACCCCUAGCCAAUGUUAUCAUGUUUACACCUAGUUACGAGGCUAUUGAGGUCGAGGUCUCGCAAUGUGAUAGUAGAUUCUCUUAUUAUUUACAUUCAUGGGUGGUUGUACAAACCUAGAAUUCAAAGCUAUGUACAAGUCUCUAUCUAGAUGCUUGCACAAAUACCUAAUUUAAUUGAGUCACUAUAUGUCUAUAGUAAUCAAUUAAAUAAGGUUCAUUAAGAUAGUAUUCUAAUUUGGAUAUAUAUGGCAACCUGAGCAUGUCUACCUGAAUCAUGAAUUAGAUCACCUAAGUGACGUGACAUACACUAUUCAAAUCAUAGUCCAAUCUAAAAUCUAUCUAUUAAGUCUCAAUUAGAUUCACAAAUUAGUUAAUUGUUGAUCAAGCAAUUAAAAGCAUUAUAAACAAAUUUGAAUAAGCAAAGCUCUACUUAUUCAUAAUAAAUAAAAGAGAAAUUAAUAUUUAGACUACAUGUUGAAAUCCACCACUGUAACACUCGAAACUCUCAUCGAGCCCGUGACAACCGUCACGAUGUCUUGAUAGACAUUCAUUACACGGAAUGUCAAUCGAAACCUCGCAAGGCUUAACAUCAGUUUUUCUCGCUUCCCCUGUGAGUAUUAGUUACUAAAAUCAUGUUUUGAGAGAUUAUAAACUAUUUUCAAAUCAAAACAAUAGAAAAAUAAUUUUUUUCUCAUAGGGGCAUUUUGGUCAUUUUUUCCCAAAAAUUUUGAAACCAGCUAAAAAUGUAGUAUGCGAGAAUAAAACACAUAAUUCAUAAUCAAAAAUAAGUUUAAACGUCUAUAACCUUCAUUUAAAAUGAAAUUAUGAUUAUUUGGAUAAAAUAAAAAAAAUAAAAAAAUAUUCAAUAAAAUAUUCUAUUCUCUUAUAAAAUAAUAUUUUUAGAGUUAUACAUAAAUAAUUUGUUGUAGUGUAAAAGCAAAAUAAAUUCAUACAUACUGUAAUACAAUAAGCCAGAGUAUUUAAUUUAAUUUACAAUAACUAGUGGGCCCCUGAAUAACUAAAAGUAAGAAAGACUAUGAACUUACAGUUUGAAGGAUGCAAAUCCAGUGGUAGCCUCGAUGAAAUCAGCUAUCUACAGCCUAUUCUGAGCCUAAAAUGGGUGAAAAUGAGGGUGGUGAGAUUAUAUAAUCCCAGUGAGUAAACAAAUACCAUCUAAAAUAUUUAAAGCCAAGUAAAUCGAGAUAGAUAAAAUAGUUUAACAUACUGUAAUUCAUCACCUUUCAACUUGUUUCAACCAAACAAAAUCAAUUCAUAUAAAUCGAGUAAUUAACAUGGCUUAUGAAUUUCUUAAAAGUUUGGCUCAUGCCAAAAUCAUUCUCAUACUCAGUUAUCAAAGAUACCUCGAUUGAGGGCUAUCCCAACCGAGUCUGCCAAAGCUGUUAAAAAGUUAUGUACGCAUAAAUCAUGUUUUUAUUUUGAAAACAUAGUUGUUCUUUGGCAUUGGCUGAGUUCACCCUCACAUGGUGGUUUGGCGUGAAGUGAACUCUAAAGUGUUAACCUCAGGAGUUAUACAUCCGUACCUCUCAUACUGAGGUAUGAAUAUAAUAGGGUUACCGUGCCCCUCUAAUAGGCUGGGCCACGGAACUCGUCCACUGCAACGACUAAUUUAUAACCCACCAUACAAUAAAAUUUGCUAUAGCAUGACAUGACCAUUAUUUUAUUUUACAGCCUCUCAAGGCAAAUUAACCGUUCAUACAUUUUCAACACAUUUACCAAAUCAACCAUUCAUGCCAAUAUUAUCAUAAGCCAUUCAAUUAGAACCAUAAAUUCACAAUACAUCAAAUGGUCUCCAAUUACUCUAUUUUCAAAGCCAUCAUUCAAUUUCAAAAUAAUUUAUAAAAUUAUUUCAUUUUAACACAUUUUGUUUAUAAAACCUAAAAAUUUACCAUUUAAACUCAUUUUUCAUAAAAUCACAAAAUCGGAUAAAAACCACUUUAGAUAAUUAAGACGAUAGUAAGGUUACUCACUAUUUCGGGAGUCGAAUUCUGAGUACUCCGAUUCUUGAUCCUCGGGUACUAUCUCUUUACUUUUGCCAGAAUGCUCACCACCUAGACAUAAUGCACAAUAAGCCAUUUGCUACAUUUGUGCUAAAUUGUUAUCAAACCAAUUCAGGCUCUAUACUAAUGCAUGAAAUGGGAUGUGAAAUACUCGGGUAACUAUCUAAAUACGGUAUUCCAUAUAAAUUCAAUUAUGUACCUAAAUAAAAUGGUAUUGGCCUAAUUCGAUCUAUCACCCGAUUAGUUGGCCAAUACGUCCAAUUCAACUCCAAUUAACUCCAUUUUUCUUCCAAUUCUCCAAACCAUCAAACACAAGUUAAAUAACUUGAAAUAUGGCAAAAUCAUUCUCACAUUUUCUCUUGGAAACUUCGGCCAUGGUCGGUGGAUCAACACUAUAAUUUUUCCUACUUGAUUCUCACACCAUAAAUCACUAAUUCUUAACCAAAUCACUUAAAAUAAAAUCAAAAUCAUCCUCAAUAUUCCACAUGGAGAAUUCAGCCAAUGAUGGGUGAUGGAAGAACAUUAAUUUUUCUUUCUUGAAUUUCAUGCUACACAUCACCAAUAAACUAAAAACACUAAAAUACAUUGAAAUCUAACCAAAUCAAGCAUCAAAACCUCUCUCCUAGGGUUUGAUCAGCACACUAUCCUUCAUGAUAUCUUGUGAUUCAACCAUGGAAAAUGCAAAAUAAUGCAUGGGAAAGGUAGAUCACAAAUCAAAAUCAAGAAAUUUUACCUUUGAUUGCUUGAUUACUUGAAAUCCACUAAUUUUCUCUUGAAUUUUCACCCUAGGGUUCUUGUUCUUCCUUUUUCUUCCUUUGUUCUUGCUUUGG